AACGAACGCUGUCGGCCUUCCUAACACCUGCAAGUCGAACGAGACCUUCGGGUCUAGUUGCGCACGGGUGCGUAACGCGUGGGAACCUGCCCUUAGGUUCGGAAUCCCUCCCCGAAAGGGGUGCUAAUCCCGGAUAAUGUCUUCGGACCAAAGAUUUAUCGCCUUUGGAUGGGCCCUCGUUGGAUUCGCUAGUUGGUAGGGUAAAAGCCUACCAAGGCGACGAUCCAUAGCUGGUCUGAGAGGAUGAUCAGCCACCCUGGGACUGAGACACGGCCCAGACUCCGACGGGAGGAAGCAGUGGGGAAUAUUGGACAAUGGGCGAAAGACGGAUCCAGCAAUGCCGCGGGAGGGAGGAAGGCCGUAGGGUUGUAAAGCUCGUUUACCCGGGAGGAUAAUGACAGGACCGGGAGAAUAAGCGACGGCUAACUCCGGG
rnacentral:rRNA from 1 species